ensembl:lncRNA
UUACUCAGGAACAGGUUAAUGUUAGUGGAUUACUCAGGAACAGGUUAAUGUUAAAGUGGAUUACUCAGGAACAGGUUAAUGUUAAAGUGGAUUACUCAGGAACAGGUUAAUGUUAGUGGAUUACUCAGGAACAGGUUAAUGUUAGUAUUUCUCAGGAACAGGUUAAUGUUAGUGGAUUACUCAGGAACAGGUUAAUGUUAGUCUGUUACUCAGGAACAGGUUAAUGUUAAAGUGGAUUACUCAGGAACAGGUUAAUGUUAGUGGAUUACUCAGGAACAGGUUAAUGUUAGUAUUUCUCAGGAACAGGUUAAUGUUAGUAUUACUCAGGAACAGGUUAAUGUUAGUGGAUUACUCAGGAACAGGUUAAUGUUAGUGGAUUACUCAGGAACAGGUUAAUGUUAGUGGAUUA